rnacentral:rRNA from 17 species
CCGGGUGUGUAAGCGCAGCGAUGCGUUGAGCUAACCGGUACUAAUGAACCGUGAGGCUUAACCUUACAACGCCGAAGGUGUUU